CAUAGGAAUGUGGAGCAAACUGACAGGCAGAGAAGAGGGAAGAGGGAAACUGCCUUUGCUGGUGGCAGCUGGGCAGAGCAGAGCCGAUAAAAAGUCAAUUCCACUUAGCAGAAUCGCUGCUAACUAAAUAUUUGGGGGGCCAGAGCCUUCCUGGGUGGCUGCCGGAGGAUCUCUGCUUCCAAACUGAGACAUCAAACAGGCCCAGGGAGAGGACAGGUGAGGUCCGGGCUCUGGUUGACAGGACUCAGGGAGCCCUGCAGAAGAGGAGGUGGAAAGAGCCACAGAGCUGGAGGACACCUAGGAAACAAAGUCUUGUAGGCACAAGAGCCUUUAUGAGGUACAUCUGAUAAGGGGAUAGUGAUCAUGCCAUGUGCACACAUGGAGGUCAGAAGACAACUUGCAAGUGUUGGUUCUCUCCGUCUACCAUGGAGUUUCCAGAGGCUGGACAGAGGUCAUCAGGCUUGGCAGCAAGGACCUUUACCUGCUAAGCCUCUGGCCCUCAUUUUUUUAAAAAUGCAAAUCAUAUAAGGAGAAAAUAAGAAUUAAAAUAAUAGUUUCAUUAUUCAUACUGAGUCUAGGGGCUCUAAAACAAAUAUGCAUGAUAUUCAAAUACAGAAGUUCUCCUUAUCCUCACAGGGGCGGCCUGAAACUUGGAUAAUACGUACAAAUGAUGACAUUUAAUUCGUAAAUUAGGUGUAGGAGAAGAUGAGCAACAGUAAAAGAUUAGCAAUGAUCACUGAUAAUAAAAUAGAUUGAUGAUAUACCAUAACAAAAGUGACACGAAACUAAUCUUUCUCUCUUAGAAGAGUCAAGGCAAGCAGUGUUUUCAGAGGAUAGUUGACCUUGGAUAACUGAAGCCAUGGAUGACCGAGCCUGUGAUACUGGAGGGACUACCAUCAUACAAAAAGCACCAAAUGAAAAUGAAAAAUCCUGUUCCUUCUUCCCAGCAAAGCCCCUUUCCUCAGAAACUCUUCCUGCUGGUUUGCAGGCUGGCAUCUUCAUCCCCAGGCUCCCCAGACUGAAUAUGGAGAAAGACUUCAAGAGUUAAUUCAGGUAAACUGAGGUCACACGGGUGGGUCCUGGUCCAUCAUGAGUGGUCUCCUUGGAAGAGGAGGAGAUUCUCCCACGUCAGGUUCUGUGACGUCAGCAGAGGAAGGCAGCCAUCUAUAAAGUAGGGAGAGAGGCCUCAGAAGAAGCCAAUGUCGCCAACCACAGAGCCUUGGACUUGUAAACUGGAGAACUAUGAGAAAGUAAAUUCUGUUGUGAAACAUUCCCAGUCUCUUGUACUUGGCUCGGACAGCCAGAGAAAAUGAUCACGCUGAGGAUGGGAGUCAUGGGUCUGGUGGAAGCAGCUACCAGCAAAUUUUGGUGUAGAAUUUUGGGGGAGGGGAAGGUCAUAUCCCUCAGCCUCUGUUUCCUCUGUCCUCUUGAUUCUGCUGGACCCUUCCUCCUGGAACCGCUCACAAAAGCCCAUCAGUCGGUAGAGAUUUCAGCUUUUAUCCUUCCACGAGGUGCCUGCAUUUUAGUGUGGGAAUAUCUCUAUGUCUAUAUGAUUUAUUUAUUUAUUUAUGUGAUGGUGCAGACAGAGCCCAGGGCCUUGCAUGCUUGUCACUCCUAGCCCUUCAUGUGGAAUUUAGAGAAAUUAUUAUAAUUGUGCAUAUGUACUACAGUAGAGGUAGAAGAGUUAAGACACUUCGUUGGAGUCAGAACUCAUGACAUUAGAUUUGGGCAACAAAUAUUUCCCCUGCUGAACCAUCUCUGAUGUGAGGUUUUUGUUGUUAUUUCUUAACUUUUGGGAAUAGGGUCUUGUCAAGCUGUCUAAGCUGGCCUUGAACUUGGCAUCCUCCUGCUUCAAACAGUCCCAGAGCUGGGCUGCAGACAGAAUUGGUUUGAUCCUGCUAAGUUGUUAGCUGGGAAACAUUUGAGCUGGCUGCAUUUCAAUCACUAUUCCUACAGUUACAGUCAAUGGUCUGCUUGACUGAACCUGUGAAUAUACCCUGGGAUGUACAGGCCUGGCUUUCUGCAUGAGAGGAUUAUGCUUUGGCCUCACCAAUAUCAGCUGUGGCCACAUGACCUGCUUUGCUCUACAAUACAGUUCUGAAGAGGAAAUGACAAGGAGAGCGAGCCCUUUAAAAGACGCCCGUGGUACUUUUCCUCUCUUCCAGCAUGAACGCAGCUGGGGCUGGACUGUUCCGUCGGCUUGGGGUACAGUAUGAAGAGAGGAGAGAAAGGAGGGGCAAGCAGCCUGUCACUGCAAACUCUAUCUCUGUGGACGGCCACUGAGACGUUAAGAGCUGUUUGUUAUCACGUCACCGCACAGUAAAAGCUGACUGAUACACCCUCCGAAUAUCAACAUAUUUAACGUGAAAUGCCAGGAACAAUGAGGGAUAACACCUUUAAGUAACCAAUAAAUGCUAUUAAAGUCUGUUGAAGGAAUCUGCCGAACCA